GACGAACGCUGGCGGCGUGCCUAAUACAUGCAAGUUGAGCGCUGAAGGUUGGUACUUGUACCAACUGGAUGAGCAGCGAACGGGUGAGUAACGCGUGGGGAAUCUGCCUUUGAGCGGGGGACAACAUUUGGAAACGAAUGCUAAUACCGCAUAAAAACUUUAAACACAAGUUUUAAGUUUGAAAGAUGCAAUUGCAUCACUCAAAGAUGAUCCCGCGUUGUAUUAGCUAGUUGGUGAGGUAAAGGCUCACCAAGGCGAUGAUACAUAGCCGACCUGAGAGGGUGAUCGGCCACAUUGGGACUGAGACACGGCCCAAACUCCUACGGGAGGCAGCAGUAGGGAAUCUUCGGCAAUGGACGAAAGUCUGACCGAGCAACGCCGCGUGAGUGAAGAAGGUUUUCGGAUCGUAAAACUCUGUUGGUAGAGAAGAACGUUGGUGAGAGUGGAAAGCUCAUCAAGUGACGGUAACUACCCAGAAAGGGACGGCUAACAACGUG
rnacentral:rRNA from 1 species